rnacentral:rRNA from 1 species
AGAGUUUGAUCCUGGCUCAGGAUGAACGCUGGCGGCAGGCUUAAUACAUGCAAGUCGUACGGUAACAUGAUGGUAGCAAUACCAUUGAUGACGAGUGGCGUACGGGUGCGUAACACGUGUGCAACCUGCCCUGUACAGGAACAAAACGCCGGGAAACUGGCGCUAAUAUUCCAUAAUGUCAUCGGCUGGCAUCAGCUGGUGAUUAAAGCAGCGAUGCGGUACAGGAUGGGCACGCGUCCCAUUAGGUAGUUGGUGAGGUAACGGCCCACCAAGCCGACGAUGGGUAGGGGUUCUGAGAGGAUAGGUCCCCCACAUUGGAGCUGAGACACGGUCCAAACUCCUACGGGAGGCAGCAGUAAGGAAUAUUGGUCAAUGGCCGGAAGGCUGAACCAGCCAUGCCGCGUGCAGGAAGACGGCCCUAUGGGUUGUAAACUGCUUUUGUCAGGGGCUAUAGGCAUCCACGUGUGGGUGUAGGAAGGUACCUGAAGAAUAAGCAUCGGCUAACUCCGUGCCAGCAGCCGCGGUAAUACGGAGGAUGCAAGCGUUAUCCGGAUUUAUUGGGUUUAAAGGGUGCGCAGGCGGAUCGGUAAGUCAGUGGUGAAAUCCACAUGCCCAACAUGUGAAGUGCCAUUGAUACUGCCGGACUAGUAUGCAAGGGGCGCGGCCGGAAUGUGGUGUGUAGCGGUGAAAUGCUUAGAUAUGACGAAGAACUCCGAUCGCGAAGGCAGGUGUCCGGGGUGUAACUGACGCUGAGGCUCGAAAGUGCGGGUAUCAAACAGGAUUAGAUACCCUGGUAGUCCGCACAGUAAACGAUGAAUGCUCGCGGUUUGCGAUACAGUGUAAGCCGCCAAGGGAAACCAUUAAGCAUUCCACCUGGGGAGUACGCCGGCAACGGUGAAACUCAAAGGAAUUGACGG